CAAUAGCGUAUAUUAAAGUUGUUGCGGUUAAAAAGCUCGUAGUUGGAUUUCUGCUGAGGACGACCGGUCCGCCCUCUGGGUGAGUAUCUGGCUUGGCCUUGGCAUCUUCUUGGAGAACGUAGCUGCACUUGACUGUGUGGUGCGGUAUCCAGGACUUUUACUUUGAGGAAAUUAGAGUGUUUCAAGCAGGCACACGCCUUGAAUACAUUAGCAUGGAAUAAUAAGAUAGGACCUUGGUUCUAUUUUGUUGGUUCUAGAGCUGAGGUAAUGAUUAAUAGGGAUAGUUGGGGGUAUUUGUAUUACACGGUCAGAGGUGGAAUUCUUGGAUUCGUGUACGACAAACUACUGCGAAAGCAUUUAUCAAGGAUGUUUUUCAUUGAUCAAGAACGAAAGUGUGGGGAUCGAAGACGAUCAGAU
rnacentral:rRNA from 1 species